rnacentral:rRNA from 1 species
UACGUAGGGUGCAAGCGUUGUCCGGAUUUAUUGGGCGUAAAGAGCUCGUAGGCGGUUUGUCGCGUCGACUGUGAAAGCCCGGGGCUCAACUCCGGGUCUGCAGUCGAUACGGGCAGACUAGAGUUCGGUAGGGGAGACUGGAAUUCCUGGUGUAGCGGUGAAAUGCGCAGAUAUCAGGAGGAACACCGGUGGCGAAGGCGGGUCUCUGGGCCACUACUGACGCUGAGAAGCGAAAGCAUGGGGAGCGAACAGG